rfam:Fukomys damarensis contig131616, whole genome shotgun sequence.
AGCUUUGUACAGUGGCAGUAUUGUAGCCAAUGAAGUUUAUCUGAGGCAUGAUUAUUGCUAACUGAAGAAUCAGAAUCCAAACAGUAGUAAUUCAGUGUAAUACAUUCAUGUCUUUAAUUUUUUCUUCACUUUGCAGAUU